CUAGUUAGCAUUAUCCGCGAAACUGCGAAUGGCUCAUUAUAUAAGUUAUCGUUUAUUUGAUAAUACUUUACUACUUGGAUAACCGUGGUAAUUCUAGAGCUAAUACAUGCUGAAAAUCCCGACUUCGGAAGGGAUGUAUUUAUUAGAUUAAAAACCAAUGCCCCUCGGGGCUCUCUGGUGAAUCAUGAUAACUAGUCGAAUCGACAGGCCUUGUGCCGGCGAUGGCUCAUUCAAAUUUCUUCCCUAUCAACUUUCGAUGUUUGGGUAUUGGCCAAACAUGGUGGCAACGGGUAACGGAGGGUUAGGGCUCGACCCCGGAGAAGGAGCCUGAGAAACGGCUACUACAUCCAAGGAAGGCAGCAGGCGCGCAAAUUACCCAAUCCCGACACGGGGAGGUAGUGACAAUAAAUACUGAUACAGGGCUCUUUUGGGUCUUGUAAUCGGAAUGAGUACAAUUUAAAUCCCUUAACGAGGAACAAUUGGAGGGCAAGUCUGGUGCCAGCAGCCGCGGUAAUUCCAGCUCCAAUAGCGUAUAUUAAAGUUGUUGUGGUUAAAAAGCUCGUAGUUGAACCUUGGGCCUGGCUGGCCGGUCCGCCUCACCGCGUGCACUGGUCCGGCCGGGCCUUUCCCUCUGCGGAACCCCAUGCCCUUCACUGGGUGUGGCGGGGAAACAGGACUUUUACUUUGAAAAAAUUAGAGUGCUCAAGGCAGGCCUAUGCUCGAAUACAUUAGCAUGGAAUAAUAGAAUAGGACGUGUGGUUCUAUUUUGUUGGUUUCUAGGACCGCCGUAAUGAUUAAUAGGGACAGUCGGGGGCAUCAGUAUUCAAUUGUCAGAGGUGAAAUUCUUGGAUUUAUUGAAGACUAACUACUGCGAAAGCAUUUGCCAAGGAUGUUUUCAUUAAUCAGGAACGAAAGUUAGGGGAUCGAAGACGAUCAGAUACCGUCGUAGUCUUAACCAUAAACUAUGCCGACUAGGGAUCGGACGAUGUUACAUUUUUGACGCGUUCGGCACCUUACGAGAAAUCAAAGUGCUGGUC
rnacentral:rRNA from 1 species